UGACUCAGGAAUCCAGUCCUUUCCAUCUUGCAGCUCUGCUAUUUCCAACAGGUGGCAUUCAGGUCAUCAAAGAAGAGGAAGACUGAAUGAUGAUGGCACAUUAGAUACUGCAACAACUCUUACCCCAAAAUGAGAUAAAUCACUUUUAUUUCGUGGUCCAUAAUUAGUUACAUGGCCCCAAUAAGAUACAGAGGGGUUGAGAAAUGAAGUGGCCAGAUAGCUGUUUCCCAGAAACAACCUAACCUAAUGGAAGGAGAGCAAAUAUCCUAGCUUUCUCUGCCACAGACUCCAAGGCCACCAAACCUCACUGCUUCUGAAUCAUGUAGGAGGAACAGCUAAACUGUAUGGUGCCAAAUUACAAGUCCGGAAAGAAGAUCAAAGGAUUCAGAGAUCAUAAGGUUGGAGCACAAAGAAGGAAACCCGAUUAGGGUGCUGAAAAGUGGAUAUGAAGAAGACAUUUCUGGCUGAGAAGAACCAGAGUAAACAUGCAGAAUUGGGAAGCCUGACACAUUUUUGUUGAAUCAAUUGACAAAAGAACUGACACCAGAUGGCCAAUCAACUCAAGAGAAAGAUUGCUUGGGUUGCUAUGAGGAAGAGGAGGAGUAAGGCCUGAUGUGGAAAGACCUUUGAGAAGAUGUUGAAAUGAGGCAGAGGAGGAGUUAGGCCUGAUGUGGAAAGACCCUUGAG